GUAGUAUUCCCUCCAUCCCAAAAUUCUUGUCUUACAUUUGUUUAGAUACAGAUGUAUCUAACACUAAAAUGUAACUAGAUACAUCCAUAUUUAGAAAAAUUUAAGACAAGAAUUUUGGGACGGAGGGAGUACAAA
rnacentral:pre_miRNA from 1 species